rnacentral:rRNA from 1 species
AACGAACGCUGGCGGCAGGCUUAACACAUGCAAGUCGAACGCUCGUGAGCGAUCACGGGAGUGGCAGACGGGUGAGUAACGCGUGGGAACAUACCCUCCGGUUCGGAAUAACUCAGGGAAACUUGAGCUAAUACCGGAUACGGCUUAGCGGCGAAAGAUUGAUCGCCGGAGGAUUGGCCCGCGUUCGAUUAGCUAGUUGGUGAGGUAACGGCUCACCAAGGCGACGAUCGAUAGCUGGUCUGAGAGGAUGAUCAGCCACAUUGGGACUGA